rnacentral:rRNA from 1 species
UGGGGAAUAUUGGACAAUGGGCGAAAGCCUGAUCCAGCAAUGCCGCGUGUGUGAAGAAGGGUUCUUCGGAUUAGUAAAGCACUUUCGACGGGGACGAUGAUGACGGUACCCGUAGAAGAAGCCCCGGCUAACUUCGUGCCAG